CAUGUUUCUGUGUGGCUAGUCACGCUCCAGUGGAACCUGUUCCUGCAACACACCUGUUGCUGACACUGCCAAAAAGAUAAUGUCCUCUCUAUAUCCGAAAAAACAGCAGGGAUUACAGUGGAAGAAAAAGAUGAUAGUUUUGGUUCCCCACUUGUGCCUCCCAUAUGCCACAGCCGUGUAGCCUAGGGGUGUGAACCUGUGUGCACUCCAGACACAGGAAGGUGAGGGCACAGCUGCAAGAUCCCGCAUACAUCUGUCACAGCCGAGUGGCCGUUCGGAGGCAGAGAGGGCGGGACUCAUAAGUGACACAGCUGUCCUCAUAAACACAUACUGCAGAUACAUAUGGUGGAAAGAUGGAUGUUUAACAAACAGUGUCAUAUGUGAAAACACCCCACCUACACGCAUGUUUAUGUCCACAACUUAGCUCCAGGGCGUAGACUGAGGUUUAAUAGAAGUAAAUAAACAACCAUUUACGUGCAUUUUUUUUGUUUUCCUCGAGAACAUGUGGAUGUUUUUCUCCUGUGUUUCUAAAAUGUAACAAAGUAGGGUAAAGGAGAAUUAAAUAAUUUAAGAUUUAUGAAUCGUUGUUAGCUGAACGAACAACCACAACUGUUCUGUG